rnacentral:rRNA from 1 species
CGUAGGUGACCUGCGGAAGGAUCAUUACCGAGUGAGGGCCCUCUGGGUCCAACCUCCCACCCGUGUUUAUUUUACCUUGUUGCUUCGGCGGGCCCGCCUUAACUGGCCGCCGGGGGGCUUACGCCCCCGGGCCCGCGCCCGCCGAAGACACCCUCGAACUCUGUCUGAAGAUUGUAGUCUGAGUGAAAAUAUAAAUUAUUUAAAACUUUCAACAACGGAUCUCUUGGUUCCGGCAUCGAUGAAGAACGCAGCGAAAUGCGAUACGUAAUGUGAAUUGCAAAUUCAGUGAAUCAUCGAGUCUUUGAACGCACAUUGCGCCCCCUGGUAUUCCGGGGGGCAUGCCUGUCCGAGCGUCAUUGCUGCCCUCAAGCACGGCUUGUGUGUUGGGCCCCGUCCUCCGAUCCCGGGGGACGGGCCCGAAAGGCAGCGGCGGCACCGCGUCCGGUCCUCGAGCGUAUGGGGCUUUGUCACCCGCUCUGUAGGCCCGGCCGGCGCUUGCCGAUCAACCCAAAUUUUUAUCCAGGUUGACCUCGGAUCAGGUAGGGAUACCCGCUGAACUUAAGCAUAUCAUA